GGAGUGGUAGCUCAGAUUGGGAGAGCGCUCGACUGAAGAUCGAGCGGUCGGGGGUUCAAAUCCCCCCCACUCCACC
rnacentral:tRNA from 2 species